rnacentral:rRNA from 1 species
CACGUAGGGGGCGAGCGUUGUCCGGAUUUAUUGGGCGUAAAGAGCUCGUAGGCGGCUAAGUAAGUCGGGUGUGAAAACUCCAGGCUCAACCUGGAGACGCCACCUGAUACUGCUUUGGCUAGAGUCCGGUAGGGGAGCAUGGAAUUCCUGGUGUAGCGGUGAAAUGCGCAGAUAUCAGGAGGAACACCAGUGGCGAAGGCGGUGCUCUGGCCGGAACUGACGCUGAGGAGCGAAAGCGUGGGAGCAAACAGG